UGGGGAAUAUUGGACAAUGGGCGCAAGCCUGAUCCAGCCAUGCCGCGUGUGUGAAGAAGGCCUGCGGGUUGUAAAGCACUUUAAGCCGGAAAGAAGGGGCGAGGGUGAAUACCUCUCGUCAUUGACGUUACCGGCAGAAUAAGCACCGGCUAACUCCGUGCCAGCAGCCGCGGUAAUACGGAGGGUGCGAGCGUUAAUCGGAAUUACUGGGCGUAAAGCGCACGUAGGCGGUUAGCUAAGUCCGCUGUGAAAGCCCUGGGCUUAACCUGGGAACGGCAGUGGAAACUGGUUGGCUAGAGUAUGGUAGAGGAGAGUGGAAUUUCCGGUGUAGCAGUGAAAUGCGUAGAGAUCGGAAGGAACACCAGUGGCGAAGGCGGCUCUCUGGACCAAUACUGACGCUGAGGUGCGAAAGCGUGGGGAGCAAACAGG
rnacentral:rRNA from 1 species